GUAACUAGACUAGAUGCCUCAUUAAACUGCUGUUGGAAGAACUCCAGUUUGUUGCGUCGUCCUUGCAGGCAAGUGCGGCGCGACAAUAUAGCUUUUGCAAAAGAUUCUCAUAAAGGCAAUGGUCCUUGAGUUGUUCAUGUUAAUGAAAACUGUAUUUCUGAAAUCUCAACUCAGCACAGGCCAAAAGUGAAUCCAAUUUUCAGUCUACCAACAACAAAAACGGAAAAUGGUAGUUAGAACUCUACUGUGUAUGUUAGACAUUGAAUGCAGAAUCUCUGGUAAAGGAUAUUUUUCAGAAGAGGGAAACCAGGAUGGUAAAAGGACAGAAAUAUGCCUUGUGAGGAACCAUUACAGGAAGUGAG